rnacentral:lncRNA from 1 species
UGGAUGUUUAAAAAUAUAUUACUUUCUAGUUGGUUGAUACUCUAAGCAUGCCCUUAUUAAGACAGAUUAUCUCCUUUCCCUUGUUCUUUUAAGAGAAGGACAAAACAAAUUAUAUAUCUCAUUCAUUCUUUCUGACAGAAAGGCCAUGUUUCCAUAUAACCCCCUCUCUAGUAAUAUAUUGAAUGCAUGGCUAACCACAUCAUUCAUUCUCUUUUUAACAUCCAUGAUGUCAUAAUCUUUUGCAGCAGGAGGGGUGUAUUCCUGCCUGCAGACUUUGGGAAAUCACCACAGGGAGUCAGACUACUGAAGCACAGUCAAGCAGUAAAUCUACCAGAUUUGCAGCUCAGGCGUACCUGUGCUGAAGACCUUAAUAACUUUGGGAAAGACCUUUGAACAAUUAUGUGUGGCCUCAGACAAGGUUAUUUCACAGAAACAUCGAUAUAUUUCUUUGAAUUAAUGAAUGCCUUGCUUCAUAAUUCCAAUGGCUCGUAAAUGGAGGUAAGAAAACAACUGAGGCGUUCUGGUCUCAUCUCUGGGUAAUCUGGUACUGAUCUCCUAGAGGAAGACUGAAUUUCUAUUUUGUGAAUGUUUGUGGUUGGAGCUGAGGCAGAGGCAGGCUUCCAGAAAUGGGGAAGUCUGAGAACAGCUGGAAUACUGUUCCACAGAUGCGUUGAUAACAUCCAGAAAUAUCUGUGAUAUGGCUGAAAUGGUAGAGGGGUGAUGAGACAAUAUUAUGCACAGCUAUUGCAGUCUUUUUUUGGUGUUUUGUUUUUUUUUUUUUCCUGGACCUCACCUUAACUUCUUGCUGAAGCAGAGCCUGGGGUUCUGCUGUUUCAUAGCAUUUCAAAAAGUAAAACAUAGGAUUAGACCUCAACAUUAAAGGAAAUAUCUGAAAAACAUCCAGCAGUCAACAUGCAGGAAACAUUUUAAAAAUAUAAACUUUGUAAAUGCUAUUUAAAAUAACUUUAAUUAAAACAUUCUGGGGGCUGGAUUUACCAGUAUUCUUCCUUCAAAAUGUUGUACUGGUGUUUGAUAUUUAAAUUUAAAUGCACAGUUGAGUGUAACAAAUACAUAUACUUAACUGGCAUAGUCCUGUACAGCCAAUUCAGUUUAUAGUCCAUGUCUGAAGCAAAUAUCUUCUUUUCCUCAUGAGCUGAACAAAAAUGGGAUAAAGCCUGUGAAUUAUGUGAUCAAUUUCAGUUCAUUAGCCUCACUUUUCCUCUGACUUUUACCAGCAUCCUUUCUGUGAACUGUUUUAAUACCAUUAUUUAACAGUUAUUGGCCUUCAGAAGGUUGAGUGGACAGUCACUUAUAUAUGAAUGAAAGAAGAGGCCAAUAUUUCUAACUUUUUUUAUUUAUGAAUUAUUUCAGCUAGCUAUUCAGUCAGCUGUGG